rnacentral:rRNA from 1 species
GACAGAGGGUGCAAACGUUGUUCGGAAUUACUGGGCGUAAAGCGCGUGUAGGCGGCUAAGUAAGUCGGGCGUGAAAUCCCACGGCUCAACCGUGGAAGUGCACUCGAAACUGCAUAGCUAGAGUCCUGGAGAGGAAGGUGGGAUGCUUGGUGUAGAGGUGAAAUUCGUAGAUAUCAAGCGGAACACCGGUGGCGAAGGCGGCCUUCUGGACAGUGACUGACGCUGAGACGCGAAAGCGUGGGGAGCAAACAGG